rnacentral:rRNA from 1 species
UACGAAGGGAGCUAGCGUUGUUCGGAAUCACUGGGCGUAAAGCGCACGUAGGCGGAUUUGCCAGUCAGGGGUGAAAUCCCGGGGCUCAACCUCGGAGCUGCCUUUGAUACAGCAAGUCUUGAGUUCGAGAGAGGUGGGUGGAAUUCCUAGUGUAGAGGUGAAAUUCGUAGAUAUUAGGAAGAACACCGGUGGCGAAGGCGGCCCACUGGCUCGACACUGACGCUGAGGUGCGAAAGCGUGGGGAGCAAACAGG